rnacentral:rRNA from 1 species
GAUGAACGCUGGCGGCGUGCCUAAUACAUGCAAGUCGAACGAAACUUCUUUAUCACCGAGUGCUUGCACUCACCGAUAAAGAGUUGAGUGGCGAACGGGUGAGUAACACGUGGGCAACCUGCCCAAAAGAGGGGGAUAACACUUGGAAACAGGUGCUAAUACCGCAUAACCAUAGUUACCGCAUGGUAACUAUGUAAAAGGUGGCUAUACUACCGCUUUUGGAUGGGCCCGCGGCGCAUUAGCUAGUUGGUAGGGUAAAGGCUUACCAAGGCAAUGAUGCGUAGCCGAAUUGAGAGGUUGAUCGGCCACAUUGGAACUGAGACACGGCCCAAACUCCUACGGGAGGCAGCAGUAGGGAAUCUUCCACAAUGGGCGAAAGCCUGAUGGAGCAACGCCGCGUGGGUGAAGAAGGUCUUCGGAUCGUAAAACCCUGUUGUUAGAGAAGAAAGUGCGUGAGAGUAACUGUUCACGUUUCGACGGUAUCUAACCGGAAAGCCACGGCUAACUACGUG